rnacentral:rRNA from 1 species
UGCGUAGGUGGUUAAUUAAGUUAUCUGUGAAAUUCCUGGGCUCAACCUAGGGAGGUCAGAUAAGACUGGUUGACUCGAGUAUGGGAGAGGGUAGUGGAAUUUCCGGUGUAGCGGUGAAAUGCGUAGAGAUCGGAAGGAACACCAGUGGCGAAGGCGGCUACCUGGCCUAAUACUGACACUGAGGCACGAAAGCGUGGGGAGCAAACA